UACGUAGGUGGCAAGCGUUGUCCGGAAUCACUGGGCGUAAAGCGCGCGCAGGCGGCGAUCUACGUCUGGGGUGAAAGCCCGGAGCUCAACUCCGGGACUGCCUUGGACUACGGGAUCGCUUGAGGAUUGGAGAGGCAAGGGGAAUUCCACGUGUAGCGGUGAAAUGCGUAGAUAUGUAGAGGAACACCUGUGGCGAAGGCGCCUUGCUGGCCAAUUCUGACGCUGAGGCGCGAAAGCGUGGGGAGCAAACAGG
rnacentral:rRNA from 1 species